rnacentral:rRNA from 1 species
AACUCGCCUACAUGAAGUCGGAAUCGCUAGUAAUCGCGGAUCAGCAUGCCGCGGUGAAUACGUUCCCGGGCCUUGUACACACCGCCCGUCACACCAUGAGAGUUUGUAACACCCAAAGCCGGUGGGGUAACCUUUUGGAGCCAGCCGUCUAAGGUGGGACAGAUGAUUGGGGUGAAGUCGUAACAAGGUAUC